GACGAACGCUGGCGGCGUGCUUAACACAUGCAAGUCGAGCGGAGCGGCGAACGGGUGAGUAACGCGUGAGUAACUGCCCCCCUAUCUGGGAUAACAGUUGGAAACGGCUGCUAAUACCGUAUAGUGGGGCAUGACUCGCGUCCUAUCAGCUUGUUGGUGGGGUGGUGGCCUACCAAGGGGAAGCCGGGUCGCCGGCCUGAGAGGGCGACCGGCCACAUUGGGCUUAGAUCCGGCCCAAAAGCCUACGGGAGGCAGCAGUGGGUAAGAUUGCACAAUGGGGGAAACCCUGAUGCAGCAACGCCGCGUGCGGGAUGACGGCCUUCGGGUUGUAAACCGCUUUCAGCCAUGACGCGGUAGUGGCAUAAGAAGCACCGGCUAACUACGUGCCAGCAGCCGCGGUAAUUC
rnacentral:rRNA from 1 species